UACGUAGGGGGCAAGCGUUGUCCGGAUUUAUUGGGCGUAAAGAGCGUGUAGGCGGCCAGAUAGGUCAGCUGUGAAAACUCGAGGCUCAACCUCGAGAUGUCGGCUGAAACCAUCUGGCUAGAGUCCGGAAGAGGAGAAUGGAAUUCCCGGUGUAGCGGUGAAAUGCGCAGAUAUCGGGAAGAACACCCGUGGCGAAGGCGGUUCUCUGGGACGGUACUGACGCUGAGACGCGAAAGCGUGGGGAGCGAAC
rnacentral:rRNA from 1 species